rnacentral:rRNA from 1 species
UCCUGGGGGCUGAAGCAGGUCCCAAGGGUAUGGCUGUUCGCCAGUUUAAAGUGGUACGCGAGCUCGGGUUUAGAACGUCGUGAGACAGUUCGGUCCCUAUCUGCCGUGGGCGCUGGAGAACUGAGGGGGGCUGCUCCUAGUACGAGAGGACCGGAGUGGACGCAUCACUGGUGUUCGGGUUGUCAUGCCAAUGGCACUGCCCGGUAGCUAAAUGCGGAAGAGAUAAGUGCUGAAAGCAUCUAAGCACGAAACUUGCCCCGAGAUGAGUUCUCCCUGAGACUUAGAGUCUCCUGAAGGAACGUUGAAGACGACGACGUUGAUAGGCCGGGUGUGUAAGCGCAGCGAUGCGUUGAGCUAACCGGUACUAAUGAACCGUGAGGCUUAACCUUACAACGCCGAAG